rnacentral:lncRNA from 1 species
GCAGGGGUCAGCCUAACUAAAUUGCAGUUUUGAGCUACAACAGAUCUUGAAAGCACCAACGCCCUAGUUGGGGCUGCCUUUCCUGCUUGUUUGUGCAAGUAAGAAAGUGCUUGAUACUUGGAGCUCUUCCCCACACUCCUGUGGAUCCGCUUCCACUUAUCCCUUCUCCCUUCUGUCCCCUCCUGUUUGGAAGAGACAUCUGCUAUUUUAAUGAAAGCAUGGAACGAAGCACUUGCCGUAAGCCCGGCGGAGCUCGACCAGAUGUUUCACAGUGCAAGAAGCUAGGUAACGGAACAAAGGUUACAAAAGAGACCUGCAGAGGUGAAAGUGAGGCUCCACAGGGCAAGCUCACAAAUUUGGAUAGAACCAAAAUGGAACAAUUGGUGAACUCUGUGAAAAACAAUCUUAGUGAAAUGAAUGAUCAAUUAGAAGAUAUGCUGAAACACCUACAGUUUUUGAAAGAAAGAUUCAGAGGUGAAAGUGAGGCUCCACAGGGCAAGCUCACAAAUUUGGAUAGAACCAAAAUGGAACAAUUGGUGAACUCUGUGAAAAACAAUCUUAGAAGUGAAAUGAGCACUCUAUAUGAAGAUAUGGGGAAAUACCUACAGUUUUUGAAAGAAAGACUCAGGGAGCUUCCCAAAAUGGUCAGCGCAGAAGAGUUUCAUCAGAAGGAAGAAGAAUGUGAAAAGCUGAAGGAACAGAAGAGAGUCUUGGAGCAAAAAUUGGACCUUGUCUUGGCCAAUGCAAUGAGAAGCCAUAAGUUCUCUGAGAACUUGAAUGACCCCUGUCGAUUAUCAGCUGUGUUGGAGAUGUACGACAGGCUCAGGAUACAUGAAUGGGAGAAAGCCAAAUGUGCUGCAAGUGUCUCCACCUUUCCAAUGACGUAUGAAAAAGGUAGCACGAUAAUUAAGGCUGUGUUUUCCAUAUGUGAAGAAGAGCUGUCACAAAGA